UACGUAGGGGGCGAGCGUUGUCCGGAAUCAUUGGGCGUAAAGAGCUCGUAGGCGGUUCAGUAAGUCAGGUGUGAAAGCUCCGAGCUCAACUCGGAAAGGCCACCUGAUACUGCUGUGACUAGAAUCCAGUAGGGGAGUGUGGAACUCCUGGUGUAGCGGUGAAAUGCGCAGAUAUCAGGAGGAACACCGGUGGCGAAGGCGGGUCGCUGGGACGUUACUGACGCUGGAGACGCGAAAGCGUGGGGAGCAAACAGG
rnacentral:rRNA from 1 species